UUGGACCUGAUAUCAGGCAAGAUUACCCGCUGAACUUAAGCAUAUCAAUAAGCGGAGGAAAAGAAACUAACAAGGAUUCCCCUAGUAACGGCGAGUGAAGCGGGAAGAGCUCAAGCUUAAAUC
rnacentral:rRNA from 1 species